GGAAGUAAAAGCGUAACAAGGUUUCCGUAGGUGAACCUGCGGAAGGAUCAUUAAAGUUAUAGUCCCCCGGCCCUCUGGGCUGGGGUCUUCUAUACCACCCUUUGUUUAUUACACCUUUGUUGCUUUGGCAGGCCUGCCCUCGGGCUGCUGGCUCCGGCCGGCUCGCGUCUGCCAGAGGACCUAAACUCUGUUUGUAUAUGAAGUCUGAGUACUAUAUAAUAGUUAAAACUUUCAACAACGGAUCUCUUGGUUCUG
rnacentral:misc_RNA from 1 species